CGAUACGAUCACCGAAGUUAAGCAACGUCGAGUCUGGUCAGUACUUACACGGGUGAUCGCUUGGAAAUACCAGGUGCUGUAAG